CGGAGGAAAAGAAACUAACAAGGAUUCCCCUAGUAACGGCGAGUGAACAGGGAAGAGCUCAAAUUUGAAAUCUGGCGUGCUCAGUGCGUCCGAGUUGUAAUCUAUAGAGUCGUUUUCCGUGCCGGACCGUGUCCAAGUUCCUUGGAACAGGAUAUCAAAGAGGGUGACAAUCCCGUACUUGACACGACCACCGGUGCUCUGUGAUACGUCUUCUACGAGUCGAGUUGUUUGGGAAUGCAGCUCAAAAUGGGUGGUGAGUUCCAUCUAAAGCUAAAUAUUGGCGAGAGACCGAUAGCGAACAAGUACCGUGAGGGAAAGAUGAAAAGCACUUUGGAAAGAGAGUUAAACAGUACGUGAAAUUGUUGAAAGGGAAACGAUUGAAGUCAGUCGUGUCCGAGAGGCUCAGCCGGUUCUGCCGGUGUAUUCCUCUCGGAUGGGUCAACAUCAGUUUUGUCCGGUGGAUAAGGGCGGCAGGAAUGUAUCACCCCAGGGUGUGUUAUAGCCUGCCGUCGCAUACAUCGGGUGAGACUGAGGAAUGCAGCUCGCCUUUAUUGGCCGGGGUUCGCCCACGUCCGAGCUUAGGAUGUUGACGUAAUGGCUUUAAACGACCCGUCUU
rnacentral:rRNA from 1 species